rnacentral:rRNA from 1 species
UACGUAGGUGGCAAGCGUUAUCCGGAAUUACUGGGCGUAAAGCGCACGCAGGCGGUCCGUUAAAUAAGGAGUGAAAGCCCUGGGCUCAACCCGGGAAUUGCUCUUUAGACUGGCGGACUUGAAUCCGGAAGAGGGCAGUGGAAUUCCAAGUGUAGAGGUGAAAUUCGUAGAUAUUUGGAAGAACACCAGUGGCGAAGGCGACUGCCUGGUCCGGCAUUGACGCUCAUGUGCGAAAGCGUGGGGAGCAAACAGG